UGGGGGAUAUUGCACAAUGGGCGAAAGCCUGAUGCAGCGACGCCGCGUGGGGGAUGAAGGCUUUCGGGUUGUAAACCUCUUUCGCUAUCGAACAAGGCCCGCUUAGGGUGGGUUGAGGGUAGGUGGAGAAGAAGCGCCGGCUAACUACGUGCCAGCAGCCGCGGUAAUACGUGGGGCGCGAGCGUUGUCCGGAAUUAUUGGGCGUAAAGGGCUUGUAGGCGGCUUGUUGCGCCUGCUGUGAAAACGCGGGGCUUAACUUCGCGCGUGCAGUGGGUACGGGCAGGCUUGAGUGUGGUAGGGGUGACUGGAAUUCCAGGUGUAGCGGUGGAAUGCGCAGAUAUCUGGAGGAACACCGAUGGCGAAGGCAGGGCACUGGGCCAUUACUGACGCUGAGGAGCGAAAGCAUGGGUAGCGAACAGG
rnacentral:rRNA from 1 species